AGUUGAGGCACCACAGAUGACCUGAAAAAUGACAAACGAGUUGGGUGAAACAAAGGACGACAAAAAACGCAGUACCACGAGUGCCGGUCCUGAGGACAGUUGAGAUCGAAAGUAAAGCAGAGGGAGAGAAAAAGGAAUGGGAUCAGGACUUCACAAAGGCGAUAUAUGAAAACGUGAGUAUGUCUAAUUAAACCUGAGAAAAGUGCAUGAGAAGAGCGUAAAUUAAAAAUGAGGAGUGAAUAUGGAAACAAGUAGGGAAAAAAAGCUGACAGAAGUUGAGAUCAUGGAAGCAAAUUCACACUUUA
rnacentral:lncRNA from 1 species